GACGAACGCUGGCGGCGUGCCUAAUACAUGCAAGUAGAACGCUGAAGGAGGAGCUUGCUUCUCUGGAUGAGUUGCGAACGGGUGAGUAACGCGUAGGUAACCUGCCUGGUAGCGGGGGAUAACUAUUGGAAACGAUAGCUAAUACCGCAUAAUAGUAGAUGUCGCAUGACAUUUGCUUAAAAGGUGCAAUUGCAUCACUACCAGAUGGACCUGCGUUGUAUUAGCUAGUUGGUGAGGUAACGGCUCACCAAGGCAACGAUACAUAGCCGACCUGAGAGGGUGAUCGGCCACACUGGGACUGAGACACGGCCCAGACUCCUACGGGAGGCAGCGGUAGGGAAUCUUCGGCAAUGGACGGAAGUCUGACCGAGCAACGCCGCGUGAGUGAAGAAGGUUUUCGGAUCGUAAAGCUCUGUUGUAAGAGAAGAACGAGUGUGAGAGUGGAAAGUUCACACUGUGACGGUAUCUGACCAGAAAGGGACGGCUAACUACGUG
rnacentral:rRNA from 1 species